GUUAAAUAAACCAUUAAAAAAUUAAAAAAUAUAUAUGUUUCAGAUAAAAGUGGCCAAUCCAGGCUCCUACAGCAAAAGCAUCCCAGCUCCUUUCCUCCUUUUCUAGCUAGCAGUCACCCGAUCGUGUAAGCUGCACUUCUCUGACACGGCACUAGGCAGCAUUAGUCACUGGUGACAGAAGACAGACGAAGUUGGGCUGUUCAUUUCCCCACAGAUAAACUUUAGUGUGAGCCCACAAUCAACCCCCCUGCUCACAGCCAAGUCUCUAUGACACUGAACCAUCUAUCACCUGUGUCCAAGCAUCCAUCAAAGAAAUUAAGUCGUUAGACCUUUGACCCAACCUUCCACUCUUCUUCAGUCCUAGGAGCAGGACUGCUAUCUCUAUCAGGACUACCAGAGAAGUUUAGACACCUACUUCGGUGGAAAGGGCAUCCUUUAAAAUGCAGAGGUUUCCCAGUUGUGGCUCCAGUGCCUUUUUCUCCUGUACA